UAAUUUGCAAUAAUUUAUAUAAUUUCAUGUGUUUACCUGAUGUCUGCUUUUAGAAAAAUAUGGAGCUGUUAGAGAAUUUCGUGAAAAACUUACUGAAGAAAAACAUCAUUCAGAAUUAUAAAGCCAAGAA